AAUAUACUUCCUCUGUUCCAAAAUUCUUGUCUUAGAUUCGUCUAGAUACGGAUGUAUCAAAAUUCUUGUCUUAGAUUCGUCUAGAUACGGAUGUAUCAAAAUUCUUGUCUUAGAUUCGUCUAGAUACGGAUGUAUGAUACAUCCGUAUCUGGACAAAUCUAAGACAAGAAUUUUGGGACAGAGGGAGUACAUG
rfam:Triticum aestivum genome assembly, contig: Triticum_aestivum_CS42_TGACv1_scaffold_485814_6AS